UGUGACUAGAAUCAUAGCCCCACAGUCAGC
rnacentral:piRNA from 1 species